UUGAGUAAAUUAAAGUAGUUGAAGAGUUGUUUGCUUGGAACCUUUUAUCUUUAGUACUGAAACCUGUCUGUUGCCAUGGUUCAUCAGUGAUGCCUGUCUGUUGCCAUGGUUACUGAGCUCAGAGAGGGAAGUGAAACACUGAAGACCAGUUUUAUCCAGUCUGAGGAAGACCAACAGAACCAGCAGCCUCCUCUGCUGCAACCAACAGGGUGGAGUUUAUUUUCUCUUUGCAUGAACUUUCUUCAUGUUGUCUCUCUGUCUCCUCCAGUGGGUCGAGUCACCCCCACCCUGACAGUGCUGCCCCCCUCCAGCGAGGAGCUGCAGCAGGGGAAGGCCACGCUCAUGUGUCUGGCCAAUGAUGGCUUCCCCUCAGACUGGAGUCUGGCCUGGAAGGUGGACGGCAGCAGCAGCAGCAGCUUGGAGCAGAGCAGGAGCCCCGGGGUGCUGCAGAAGGACGGCCGCUACAGCUGGAGCAGCACCCUGAGGCUCCCUGCAGACCAGUGGAGGAAGGUGGGCUCUGUGACCUGUGAGGCCACCCAGGGCUCCCAGACUCCAGUCUCAGAGACACUGAGGAGAGACCAGUGU